GGCACUCUUGCUGCCCUGGUGCAUUUCAACUAAUAACCUUUAAGAAAUCCAAUGUUCGAGAAUAGUUCAUUCCGAUACUUACACCUAAUUUAAACUUGGAUAAGGUCAGAAUUCAAUAAUUUGAUUGUAAAUUCGGAUUCAGGUAAAGUAUUGGGAUGUCAAGAAGGCCUCAAUGGGGUACUGCAAUGGAGAAAUUAGAACAAGUCUGAUUCAGUUUACUUGGCCU
rnacentral:lncRNA from 1 species